GUGCUAAAAAAGAGGUUUCAGAAGAGUUGGAAGGUGGGGAAGACGAAAAACCAGAGAAAGAUGAUGAUUUGGAAUAUAGGGUUCGAGUUCCAGUUGUUAGGAUGCAGUUUGGUGAAGUUGCUGAGGCUACUAGUGUGGUGGUUUUGCCUGUUUGUAUGGCGGAGGAGGAUACCAAGGAGCUUUUGGAAGCACCUUUGGAAUGUAGAAGUGGAGGGGAUUUUGGUGUGGUGGAGGCUGAGAAAGGAUGGAAGAGGUGGGUGGUUUUGCCAAGUUGGGAACCGCUUGCGGGGUUAAGGCAUGGAGGAGUUGUAGUGGCAUUCAGUGAUGCCAGAGUUAUACAAUGGAAGUCAAACAGGUGGUAUAAGGAAGAGGCUAUUUUGGUGGUUACGGAUCGGAAUAGAAAGGAGGUC
rnacentral:lncRNA from 1 species